AGUGAACGCUGGCGGUAGGCCUAACACAUGCAAGUCGAACGGCAGCACAGUAAGAGCUUGCUCUUACGGGUGGCGAGUGGCGGACGGGUGAGGAAUACAUCGGAAUCUACUUUUUCGUGGGGGAUAACGUAGGGAAACUUACGCUAAUACCGCAUACGACCUACGGGUGAAAGCAGGGGAUCUUCGGACCUUGCGCGAUUGAAUGAGCCGAUGUCGGAUUAGCUAGUUGGCGGGGUAAAGGCCCACCAAGGCGGCGAUCCGUAGCUGGUCUGAGAGGAUGGUCGGCCACACUGGAACUGAGACACGGUCCAGACUCCUAAGGGAGGCAGCAGUGGGGAAUAUUGGACAAUGGGCGCAAGCCUGAUCCAGCCAUACCGCGUGGGUGAAGAAGGCCUUCGGGUUGUAAAGCCCUUUUGUUGGGAAAGAAAAGCAGCAGGUUAAUACCCCGCUGUUCUGACGGUACCCAAAGAAUAAGCACCGGCUAACUUCGUG
rnacentral:rRNA from 1 species